UAAUCUUGGAAUGUAUUCUGGAUGUUAACCACGUGGUAACCAUCCGUAGGGGACAUGUGGUGGGUGAUUGGAAGACGGUUGCCGGGAUAUGGGACAAGUCCGUAUUGCAUGGGUGUCUGCAUGCUGACAGUGUAAGCAGGUGGGCACAUGGCGCGCAUAGAGUUGAACGCAGGCAUUGACGGGCUGGUAAGUGCGUAUAAGGCCAUAUCUAGGCACUAACACACGCAUGGUCUGCGCGACGUGAUCGCAGGUAAGCUGCAUGCACGUAAGCGAGCACAAUGUCCUCGUGUGCGCGAGCACAGGUGCACGGGCAAGCGAGCUGCGGGCAUACAGGUGUUUUCCCGUGGGUCUAGGGUAUUUUUUUC
rnacentral:lncRNA from 1 species